GAUGAACGCUAGCGGCAGGCUUAACACAUGCAAGUCGAGGGGUAUAGGAAGCUUGCUUUCUAGAGACCGGCGCACGGGUGCGUAACGCGUAUGCAAUCUACCUUUUACAGAGGGAUAGCCCAGAGAAAUUUGGAUUAAUACCUCAUAGUAUUAUGAAAUGGCAUCAUUUUAUAAUUAAAGUCACAACGGUAAAAGAUGAGCAUGCGUCCCAUUAGUUAGUUGGUAAGGUAACGGCUUACCAAGACUACGAUGGGUAGGGGUCCUGAGAGGGAGAUCCCCCACACUGGUACUGAGACACGGACCAGACUCCUACGGGAGGCAGCAGUGAGGAAUAUUGGUCAAUGGACGCAAGUCUGAACCAGCCAUGCCGCGUGCAGGAUGACGGUCCUAUGGAUUGUAAACUGCUUUUAUACAGGAAGAAACACCUCU
rnacentral:rRNA from 1 species